GCGGGAACAACAGGAUUUCUGAUCACAAACUACGAUAAGUUCUCCGCGUUUCUUUAAAUUAGACAGACCAACAAAAGAUGUGGGGGUUAUUGAAGGAUUAAACCAAGAACUCACCAACGCUGGAUAUGACGACCCCCAGCAGCCAGUAAUCAAGAAGCCUCAAUCCUCACCGCCCAUACCUCUCAAUCUCUUGGAGCAAGAAAUCUGGACAAAGCCUGAUAUAAUGAUUAAAAACUUGCACAGACCAUCAACAGGCACAAUGUGAACUGAUAGAGAAAACAACACCUGAAGGCAGGAGGACAAGAUUGUGAGGAUUCAAGCAAUUAGUCAGCUGGUGCAGAAAAGCCUAGGGUGGACACUUUGUAGGGGAGAGAGAGAGAGAGCUCAUCCAAAGCCCUUUUCUGUUUUCUAUGAGAAAGUGCUGCAUAAAUCAAAGGAGAUGAAACAAUUUAAAAAAUGGAUAAGAAACAGUGCACUGCGAACAUUGAAUGAGUACGUUAAUUAAAAAGGAUUACUGUUUAUAUGACAAAUGAUGUGUUUGUCUUAAAAUGUGAACUGCAGUCUGAAUGAUACUUUAAUACCAUUGAAAUCCAUAAGUACAAGACAGAAAACAACUAUUUAAUUUAAUAUAAAUAUAAUAAUGUAUGCACUGCAUAUCAGAAUUUCACUUAAAAUUUAACUGAA